GUCCACGCCGUAAACGAUGAAUACUAGGUGCUGCGGGUAUUGACCCCUGCGGUGCCGACGCUAACGCAUUAAGUAUUCCGCCUGGGAAGUACGGCCGCAAGGCUAAAACUCAAAGGAAUUGACGGGGGCCCGCACAAGCGGUGGAGCAUGUGGUUUAAUUCGACGCAACGCGAAGAACCUUACCCAGUCUUGACAUCGAUGGAAUUCUGUAGAGAUACGGAAGUGCCCUUCGGGGCCCAGAAG
rnacentral:rRNA from 1 species